rnacentral:rRNA from 1 species
GAUGAACGCUGGCGGCGUGCCUAAUACAUGCAAGUCGAGCGAACGGACGAGAAGCUUGCUUCUCUGAUGUUAGCGGCGGACGGGUGAGUAACACGUGGAUAACCUACCUAUAAGACUGGGAUAACUUCGGGAAACCGGAGCUAAUACCGGAUAAUAUUUUGAACCGCAUGGUUCAAAAGUGAAAGACGGUCUUGCUGUCACUUAUAGAUGGAUCCGCGCUGCAUUAGCUAGUUGGUAAGGUAACGGCUUACCAAGGCAACGAUGCAUAGCCUACCUGAGAGGGUGAUCGGCCACACUGGAACUGAGACACGGUCCAGACUCCUACGGGAGGCAGCAGUAGGGAAUCUUCCGCAGUGGGCGAAAGCCUGACGGAGCAACGCCGCGUGAGUGAUGAAGGUCUUCGGAUCGUAAAACUCUGUUAUUAGGGAAGAACAUAUGUGUAAGUAACUGUGCACAUCUUGACGGUACCUAAUCAGAAAGCCACGGCUAACUACGUG